rnacentral:lncRNA from 1 species
AUCAUUCUCAUCAAGGCAUCAGCGUGGCACAUUAGACCUCUUCCAAGCCAUUCCACUGGAACUUCUCUCUCCAAAUGCUCCAGCAAGAGUAAACUUGUUAUGCAAACAUUGGAUCAUUGUCUCUGAGCUACAGAAGCACCUCUGUGUCGGUGAAAGGGGAGAAACUGGCUGACUUGCGUCUGUUUUUAAUGAUGUCGCUGCUGCUGGGAAAAUUUGGAAGCUGCAGAGCCAAGAACAUCAGAGGUGGGAUGAUGAUGCUUGUGGCUAUGAGACAGGAUUUCAAGGAUCCUGAUGAAACGUCUGCUGGCCUGAAUC